GUCUCCCAUCACUCCCAGAUGGGACCGUCUAGUUGCAGGAAAACAAGCUCAGGGCUCCCACUGAUUCUACAUUAUGAUCAACUGCAUGGGGUCCUACAGGAGAAGACCAAGAGACAGAGACAGAGACCAGGGAAAAUGACCGAUACCAUUCCUUCUCAGGGAUGCUACACACCCAUGGGGCAGAGGAUAAGAGGUUCCUGAAGGCAUCACCCCUCUGGCCAUGGCUGGUGUGCAGACAAAGCUGGAGAUUUGGAGUAGCCUGUUGUCCCACUGACUCUUAGACUGCCCCAGCUAAGAAGAACCAACUCCUCCUAUUACAGAUGAAAUAAACAAAGCUACUCAAGCUCUCUGGCAUCGCCCUGACGGUCAUCAUGUGCUUCACAUUUCCCUCCUGCCCCCCCUGAUUUUCUGGAAAAGGGAGAAACACACCAAAGAGAGUUCUAGAAAAAAUGAGAAUAAGAAAUUUACCUGUAAUCCUUGCUCAAGAAACUGAAGCUCUGAGGCCACAUUGUUCCAGCCUUUUGCAGCUCCUGCAUGUGGAUACCAGCACCAGCAGCUCCCCGACCAGGGGCCCCAGCUAAGCCCUCCCAGAGGAUGAUCUUGGCUUUGUACAUGGGGUGUCAAUAUCCUGUGAGUCCAACAGAGGGAAGACAUAAGAAUAUGGUCACCCAGGUAACAGACAUUUGUCUUAAUGUAUUCACUGUGUCAUCAGAAGCCACUUCUUAUCCAUCCUUGUGAAUACUUGAUGAAUGAGGAGUCAAUGAUUAAAUGAAGGAAAGAAAAGAGACUGAAAAGGAGGUAUGAGAAUGGGAAAGACGAGUGGAAAGACGAGAUAGAUAUUGCCCUAAAGACACAGUAAGCCAUCAAAUAUCUGUUUUCUAGUCCCCUUCUGGGCCCUCUUGGAUUUUGAAAAAGGGAGGAAGAAAUUGGAAAAAUUACCAAUAACUUCUAUUGACUUUGUAGAUUCCUAGUUUCCCCACAUGUGGCUAUGCUUGAAUCAACUUGUAAAAGUCUCUUUAUAGUCUGUUGAUGUUCAUGCAGGCACUAAAAGGCCACGGUCGGCCUACUUAGAUGAUCCACUCCACCCUGGGCUCCGGAAGAUGUUCCAGGGCAUUUGCCUUUACUUGACCCUAUGCUGAGAAGCUACCAAUAUUUUUCUUUCCCCAAAUUGGUUUUAUUUGUACCCUUUAUAUAUUAAAUAUUAGAGUAUUGGCCAA
rnacentral:lncRNA from 1 species